UAUGUGAUCGUCUCUCGCAUAUCAAUAAGCGGAGGAAAAGAAACUAACAAGGAUUCCCCUAGUAACGGCGAGUGAAGCAGGAAGAGCUCAAAUUUGAGAUCUUAAAGGGUUUCCCUUUACGAAUUGCAGUUUAAAGAAGUGUUUUCUGUUGAGGUUUUGGUAAAAGUUCUUUGGAAUAGGACAUCAUAGAGGGUGAGAAUCCCGUAUUUGACCUUUACUUUCAACUUUGUGAUACACUUUCAAAGAGUCGGAUUGUUUGGGAAUGCAGUCCAAAAUGGGUGGUAAAUUUCAUCUAAAGCUAAAUAUUGGCGAGAGACCGAUAGCGAACAAGUACCGUGAGGGAAAGAUGAAAAGAACUUUGAAAAGAGAGUUAAACAGUACGUGAAAUUGUCAAAAGGGAAGCGUUUGACACCAGUGUUGUUUUUCUGAAAAUCAAUUAAAGAACUGUUUAUGCUAAGUUGUUUGGACUUUAUCAGCUAACUGUUUAGUUUUGAGCUUUUCUUUAAUGCACUUUUCAGUUAACAAGUCAACAUCAAUUUCUUUUGCUGUAAAAAAGCUUGAGGAAGGUGGCUUGAGAUUCGUCUUAAGUGUUUAUAGCCUCUUGCCUAUGCAGUCGGAGAGAUUGAGGUCUGCAGCGUAGAUCCUUCGGGGCUAAAUGCAUUUGUGCUAAGUUAUAGCAUUUUAUAGACAACUUGUUGACUAUGAUUUGUCUUGUAGCUUACUCGCUUAUGUUAUUUUACCUACGCUUAGGAUGUUGACUGAUAUGUAGUCGUA
rnacentral:rRNA from 1 species